GAACUACAGACAGAGGAUUCUUAACUCAAAAUGAGACAGAUAUUUUCAACUCCUUUAACUAUCCUAGGUUGAGAAUAUCACAGAUUUAAAAUGUAGGUCAUGCUCUAAGCUUACGCAGCAUCAUGACUUAGUCACAUGAACGUUGUGAGUUUCAGCUGUUCACUCUGAUGCACCACAAGAGAGUAGACUACUACAUAGUGAUAGUCCUGAAAAGAUCCAAGCUCAAGAUCAGAAAGUAUACUGGUUCCUGAAAGUGCGUCAUUUUUAUACCAUGGAAGGCCUCUCCAAUUUUCCCGGCCUGGCAGUCCAAAAUUGAUCCUGCUGUAGGACCUGUGUCCCUAACAAAGCCUGCGACAUAACAGGAACCUAGUGGAGUGACUGGGUGGUAAUGGGGAAGGAGAAGUAAACUGGUAGAAUUCACUAGGCUGAGGAAGCUCAGCAAGUUUCAAGAUUGACAGAGCAGAGAGCCUCCCCAGGGAUGCAAAGGCAACAGGAGACAUCUGCUGGAGAAGAGGACUCAUCUGCUGGAGUACUUGCACGUUGGGCAAAGAAGGAACAUGAGACCACAGCUUCUGAAUGCAUCCAAAGUUGUGGAGAGAGCUUUCUGUGCAAAGUGGCAGGUGCAGAGUGGAGCCCGCUAAGAGAAGGAUGUGUGCUGCAGGCCGGAGGGAAAGAACAGUGCAGAAGCCAGUCAGAAUUGUGGGGUUUGCUGUUUGCCCUCCUGAGUUGUGGUCUGAUCUCCUUUUAUCUUCCUGCUCCUCGAUUGUAGAAUAGGAAUGUUUAUUCUGUGUUGAUAUAUAUUGGAAGCAGAUAACUUGAUUUUUUUUUCUAAAACAGGGCUCCAUAGUUAUGAUAUUGCCAUGAGUUUCAGAGGAGCUGGAACAAGGAAAGUACAGGAUAGCCAAAAGAACUUACUAUCUCAAAGUAGAAGGAAGAAGUCAAAGAAUAAAGGAACUCCGAAGACAAAGAGUGGACCCAGAGAAGUAUGAAGACCUUGAUCUUCACAAUAAUAAUUACUACAGAAUGAUAAAUCAUUGAAUAAAUACUACAAACACACGACUAUGUCAGAUGUGGGAAUUAGAUGCUAGUUCAUAAAGAUGGAAG
rnacentral:lncRNA from 1 species